rnacentral:rRNA from 1 species
UACGUAGGCAGCAAGCGUUGUUCGGAAUUACUGGGCGUAAAGAGUGUGUAGGCGGUGCUCUAAGUCUGUUGUGAAAUCUCCCGGCUUAACCGGGAGGGUGCGGCGGAAACUGGAGUGCUUGAGGGUGGGAGAGGUAAGCGGAAUUCCUGGUGUAGCGGUGAAAUGCGCAGAUAUCAGGAAGAACACCCGUGGCGAAGGCGGCUCUCUGGGAAUAUCCUGACGCUGAGGAGCGAAAGUGUGGGGAGCGAACAGG